rnacentral:rRNA from 1 species
CACGUAGGGGGCAAGCGUUGUCCGGAUUUAUUGGGCGUAAAGAGCUCGUAGGCGGUCUGUCGCGUCUGCUGUGAAAACUCGGGGCUUAACCCCGGGCCUGCAGUGGGUACGGGCAGACUAGAGUGCGGUAGGGGAGACUGGAAUUCCGUGGUGUAGCGGUGAAAUGCGCAGAUAUCAGGAGGAACACCGGUGGCGAAGGCGGGUCUCUGGGCCGUAACUGACGCUGAGGAGCGAAAGCAUGGGGAGCGAACAGG